UUGGAGGGCAAGUCUGGUGCCAGCAGCCGCGGUAAUUCCAGCUCCAAUAGCGUAUAUUAAAGUUGUUGAGGUUAAAAAGCUCGUAGUUGAACCUUGGGCCUAGCCGGCCGGUCCGCCUCACCGCGUGCACUGGCUCGGCUGGGUCUUUCCUUCUGGAGAACCGCAUGCCCUUNACUGGGUGUGCCGGGGAACCAGGACUUUUACUCUGAACAAAUUAGAUCGCUUAAAGAAGGCCUAUGCUCGAAUACAUUAGCAUGGAAUAAUAGAAUAGG
rnacentral:rRNA from 1 species